GCAUCCGCUCUGGUUAUUAGUUACAGGAAAGGCAGCUGUGCCGGGUGAUGCUGGUUGGAGUCAAAAAGCAGGCAGAGCUCAGCCAAGUGGACACCAGCACAAUGGCUCACUUCCCCUGUGUGCAGCAAAACGAGAGGUCUGUUGACGGAUGCACAUGUGCGUGAAUGCAAGGUCUCCCUCUUUGCAGCAAGGCAGCAGAAUGGGAGUCUCUGAGAAGCAGUGGGAUUUCUUCUGGCGUUGGAGUUUGAGAACCACUGGCUUAGAGCUCAGGAUCAAAAGCUGGACAACAAAAUAGCCAUUAACAUGAGAGAAGGACUGGACCAGCUUUCUCUGGGCACUAGAAGGUGGUACCCAGAUCUGCCCCAGACUUAUGAUGGACUUCUCACUGUCUUCCUGGACACAGAAUAUCCCCAGCAUCAACAGGCCUUUCUUUCUGUUGCCCAAGUCAAACAUCUUUCUAACCUUGCACUCAAAAGCUUAAUUACACCUAUUCUUUGGUUUUCCCUCUAAAUCCAGAGACAAAAAAAUAUUAUUUGUAGAUAACAAGAAUGCCUAGCCUGGAGUCGACAAAAUGCAAUCAACAGAAAACUGUAUGAACUAAAGAGUUUCAUUGAAAAUACUUUAACAGCGUCUAGCCUCCUUUAAGCGGCAUCCUUAGUGGCUUCAUGUGCUACACAUUCAUGGAACCUGUACCUGCGUCCUCCCUGCCACAUCCCUUAUUGAAAAGGAACACAUCCUUUCUGAGCCAGAAGAAAAAGAUAUCCCAGAAGAAA